rnacentral:rRNA from 1 species
GAUGAACGCUCGCGGCAGGCCUAACACAUGCAAGUCGAGGGAGAAGCCCUUUCGGGGGCAGAAACCGGCGCACGGGUGCGUAACGCGUAUGCAACCUGCCUUUCACAGGGGGAUAGCCCGAAGAAAUUUGGAUUAAUACCCCAUAAUAUUAUUGGAUGGCAUCAUUUGAUAAUUAAAACUGCGGUGGUGAAAGAUGGGCAUGCGUCCUAUUAGCUAGUUGGAGUGGUAACGGCACCCCAAGGCUACGAUAGGUAGGGGUCCUGAGAGGGAGAUCCCCCACACUGGUACUGAGACAGGGACCAGACUCCUACGGGAGGCAGCAGUGAGGAAUAUUGGUCAAUGGUCGGAAGACUGAACCAGCCAUGCCGCGUGCAGGAAGAAUGCCUUAUGGGUUGUAAACUGCUUUUAGAUGGGAAGAAUAAGGCGUACGUGUACGUUGAUGACGGUACCAUAUGAAUAAGCAUCGGCUAACUCCGUG